rnacentral:rRNA from 1 species
GACGAACGCUGGCGGCGUGCUUAACACAUGCAAGUCGAACGGAAAGGCCCUGCUUUUGUGGGGUGCUCGAGUGGCGAACGGGUGAGUAACACGUGAGUAACCUGCCCUUGACUUUGGGAUAACUGCAGGAAACCGGGGCUAAUACCGGAUAGGAGCUCCUGCUGCAUGGUGGGGGUUGGAAAGCUUCGGCGGUUGGGGAUGGACUCGCGGCUUAUCAGCUUGUGGGUGGGGUAGUGGCUUACCAAGGCUUUGGCGGGUAGCCGGCCUGAGAGGGGGACCAGGCUCAUUGGGCCUGCGGGACGGCGCAGUGUGCAACAGGGGGCAGCGGGCGGGAAUAUUGCCCAACGAGCGGGCGCCUGAUGCGGCAGCGUCGCGUGCGGAAAGAAGGCCUUCGGGUUGUAAACCGCAUUAGGUUAUUACCAAGCGUUAGUGACGGUAAUAGGUGAAGAAGCACCGGCUAACUACGUG